rnacentral:rRNA from 1 species
GAUGAACGCUGGCGGCGUGCCUAAUACAUGCAAGUCGAGCGAACAGACGAGGAGCUUGCUCCUCUGACGUUAGCGGCGGACGGGUGAGUAACACGUGGAUAACCUACCUAUAAGACUGGGAUAACUUCGGGAAACCGGAGCUAAUACCGGAUAAUAUAUUGAACCGCAUGGUUCAAUAGUGAAAGACGGUUUUGCUGUCACUUAUAGAUGGAUCCGCGCCGCAUUAGCUAGUUGGUAAGGUAACGGCUUACCAAGGCGACGAUGCGUAGCCGACCUGAGAGUGUGAUCGGCCACACUGGAACUGAGACACGGUCCAGACUCCUACGGGAGGCAGCAGUAGGGAAUCUUCCGCAAUGGGCGAAAGCCUGACGGAGCAACGCCGCGUGAGUGAUGAAGGUCUUCGGAUCGUAAAACUCUUUUAUUAGGGAAGAACAAAUGUGUAAGUAACUAUGCACGUCUUGACGGUACCUAAUCAGAAAGCCACGGCUAACUACGUG